GAUGAACGCUGGCGGCGUGCUUAACACAUGCAAGUCGAACGGUGAAGCCCAGCUUGCUGGGUGGAUCAGUGGCGAACGGGUGAGUAACACGUGAGCAACCUGCCCCUGACUCUGGGAUAAGCGCUGGAAACGGCGUCUAAUACCGGAUAUGAGACACAAUCGCAUGGUUCGUGUUUGGAAAGAUUUUUCGGUUGGGGAUGGGCUCGCGGCCUAUCAGCUUGUUGGUGAGGUAAUGGCUCACCAAGGCGUCGACGGGUAGCCGGCCUGAGAGGGUGACCGGCCACACUGGGACUGAGACACGGCCCAGACUCCUACGGGAGGCAGCAGUGGGGAAUAUUGCACAAUGGGCGAAAGCCUGAUGCAGCAACGCCGCGUGAGGGACGACGGCCUUCGGGUUGUAAACCUCUUUUAGCAAGGAAGAAGCGAAAGUGACGGUACUUGCAGAAAAAGCGCCGGCUAACUACGUGCCAGCAGCCGCCGUAACAC
rnacentral:rRNA from 1 species